rnacentral:rRNA from 1 species
GGGUUAAGUCCCGUAACGAGCGCAACCCUUGUCCUUAGUUACCAGCACGUUAUGGUGGGCACUCUAAGGAGACUGCCGGUGACAAACCGGAGGAAGGUGGGGAUGACGUCAAGUCAUCAUGGCCCUUACGGCCUGGGCUACACACGUGCUACAAUGGUCGGUACAAAGGGUUGCCAAGCCGCGAGGUGGAGCUAAUCCCAUAAAACCGAUCGUAGUCCGGAUCGCAGUCUGCAACUCGACUGCGUGGAGUCGGAAUCGCUAGUAAUCGUGAAUCAGAAUGUCACGGUGAAUACGUUCCCGGGCCUU